GGCUCAUUGGUCUAGUGGUAUGAUUCUUGCUUGGGGUGUAAGAGGCACUGGGUUCAAAUCCCGGAUGGGCCC
rfam:Daphnia pulex DAPPTscaffold_64_Cont3314, whole genome shotgun sequence.